GGCUAUGAUGACUGGCAUCUGGGUUGAUCAGUUUGAGACUAGUCCACAUGAUCCAGCACCAGUUCCUGCUUCAGCAAACUGACACUGGUGCUGCCUAGGCGGAUGAAGUCUGGGAAGAAUGCAACAGGAAACACCAUCCUGGGAAGAGAGGACAGAACUAGUCAAAUGCAGAUUAAAAAGAUUAAUGGCUGUAAUUAAAGCAAAAGGUCAGAAAUAUGUAAUCAUCAGAGUCUCAUAGCUCGUCCUACUGUCAAGACUUCCAAUGCGACACUGAUGCACUGUAUGCUGAUAAGCCUUUUGGUGCUGUUUUUCCCAGUACAGUCACACACACAAAACACCUUACAGCUGAGAGACUGUACAUGGUUAGAUAAUAGAGAUUACCUCUGUCAGGUCACUGAUGGAGACAGAACAGAGGAGAUUACAGUAUUUAUGUGUAUGUGUUCCUGAUCUCCACAGUGUAUAACAGGGGUACUCAAUAGGCGGACUGCAGUCCAUGUGCGGACCCAAACAGGGUUAAAUCUGGACAGACGCCCAAACCAAAUUGCUAUUUUAAUCAUAAUCCAAAUGAGUUUUCCGUGCAGCGUGCAAUCGUGAUUCUGCGCUAUAUGUAUCUUUGAAGCGUCUACUACUGUUUGAUUCAUCUAUGUCCAAUCACAGAAGCGGUAACAACAUCACUAUAGCAACAUCGCUAUAGCAACAUUGCUCGCUCGCUCAAGGCGGUCCGGGUCAGACAUGUGAAAAGGCAGACUCAUCGUGCAAAUAACAGUAACUGACAUUUUUAUUUAUUUCUUUUACUUAUUAAUGGCUUGUUCAAAGAUGCCCAUUGAUAAGAAAAAAGUUGAUCUUGAAAACCACAAGUUUAAAAGUGAGUGGACAGAAAAAUAUGCAUUCGUGCUCCCCGGUGGAAGAUAAAAACCAAUGUGUUUAAUCUGCAACGACAUGGUAGCAAUCAUCAAAAGUGGUAAUGUAAAACAUCACUAUGAAACCAAGCAUGCAUAUUUUGAACAAAAUUACCCUCAGAACACAGAGUUAAGGACCACAAAAAUAAACCAGCUGAAAUCAUCCUAUGAAGCUACAAGCAGUGUAAUAGUUAGAUCAGCCACACAAUAGGAGCAGGCAACAGAAGCCUCACUAAGGGGGUUUUUACACCUGGUGACUUCAUGCGUUUUCUGUGAUCCGAUAGCUAUCCGACUGUAAAAAGACCAGGUGUAAAUGCCCUCCGGAACGGUUUCGAGACGGAUAUAAAUCCGAUGGUACAAACCCCUUCAGGAGGUGGUGUGUUGGCAUUGUUGCUGGGGAGUAUUAAUGACAUUUCUUCUGUCCGUCACAGUGACAUUAACAUGGGAACUACUGUAACAUGACACUGGUGCUGCCUAGGCGGAUGAGGUCUGGGAAGAAUGCAACAGGAAACCAUCCUGGGCAGAGAGGACAGAACUGGUCAAAUGUAGAUACAGUAUACCAUCUAAAACAUCCAAAAAGAUUAAUUGCUGUAAUUAGUUUUUCAGUUUUUUUUUUGUCUUUUUUCUAAACUGUUGCUUUGUGCUUUCAUUAGUUUUUUUUAAGAUUUUUUUCAUUAAAGGCUGUACAAUAUUUUAUGUUAAUUUUUAAAUCGUAUUUCACUGAUUAGAUUAUCUACUAUGCUACUACUCAGUCAUGUACGUUCCCUCAAAUUUCCACUUAAAAUGUCUUGAUAAUGAUUUUGUUCGUAGUAAAUCUGACCAUUUUUCAGUUGCUCUUUUUAUCUUAGAAUUAAUCAUAGUGUUGUUGUUUUUUACUGUCUAUAUACAGGUGCAUUUCAAUAAAAUAGAACGUCAUGGAAAAGUUUUUGUUUCAUUAAUUUAACUCAAAUAAUGAAACUCGUGUAUUAUAUAAAUUCAGUACACACAGACUGAAGUAGUUUAAGUCUUUUGUUCUUUUAAUUGUGAUGAUUUUGGCUCACAUUUAACAAAAAACCAUCAAUUCUCCAAAAAUUGGAAUGCUUCAUAAGACUAAUAAAAACAUUUUUAGUGAAUUGUUGGCCAUCUGGAAAGUAUGUUCAUUUACUGUACUGUAUAUAUACUUAACACUUGGUAGGGGCUUUUGCGUUAAUUACUACCUCAAUACGGUGUGGCAUGGUGGUGAUCAGUCUGUGGCACUGCUGAGGCGGUAUAAUUUCAACGUUAUACAGUAGCAUCUGCUGCAGUGUUCAUUCAGUGAGCGGUGGAGCCAGAUA